rnacentral:lncRNA from 1 species
UUCCAAAGUUGGGAGGUGAAACUGCAGCAGAAGAACAGAUGGUUGACAUCUUCACUUCCUUUUUCACAGAGAGCACACCUGUCGCAAAUGUUAAAGCCACUUUUAUGGAGAUUCUUUUAAGUUAAAAACAUCUUUCGUGUUUAAUUUUAAUUGGUCCUUGAAAAUAAGGACUAAAGUUCUUCAGAAGUAGCAUCUCAAGUUACUCAUUCAUGAUCUGCUCCGUAUUUAGAGUAAUUGAUCAUGAAGAUGAAGGACUACAUAGAUGCUUCCACAUACGAUACACCAAAGCAAGAAAUGUAGGGGUGGAGAAAAAAUAAGAAGAAAGAAAGAAGAAACUAAUCAGGAUGAGAAGAACGAAAUUUAAUACCUGAUGUCCUCUUUAAAGCCAAGCGUGCUAUGGCCCAUGAAACAUUUUUUAGCUUGACUUUUUUGUCCUGUCAAAGAGGUAAAUAAAGGGUUCAAAGGCAAGGUAAUUGAAGCAGGCAGUCUCCGGAAAUAAUCCACUGCUUUUGAUCGAUUGAGGAACACGAGAAAUGACAAACCUUCUUACUGCUUACUUGGUCAUCACUAUCUUCAUCAGAUGAUGAGGACUCGUCACCUAUUGCAUCGUAGAAUUC